rnacentral:rRNA from 1 species
UACGUAGGGACCGAGCGUUGUCCGGAAUCAUUGGGCGUAAAGAGCGUGUAGGCGGCUUGCUAAGUCUUGCGUGAAAUCUCGGGGCUCAACCCCGAGCGGUCGUGGGAAACUGGCAGGCUAGAGUGCGGGAGAGGAGAAUGGAAUUCCUGGUGUAGCGGUGAAAUGCGCAGAUAUCAGGAAGAACACCAACAGCGAAGGCAGAUCUCUGGGACGUUACUGACGCUGAGACGCGAAAGCGUGGGGAGCAAACAGG